GACGAAGGGGGCUAGCGUUGUUCGGAAUUACUGGGCGUAAAGCGUGUGUAGGCGGUUUUCCUAGUCAGGUGUGAAAGCCUUGAGCUCAACUCAAGAACUGCCCUUGAUACUGGGCGACUAGAGGACCGGAGAGGAUAGUGGAAUUCCCAGUGUAGUGGUGAAAUACGUAGAGAUUGGGAGGAACACCAGUGGCGAAGGCGGCUAUCUGGACGGUUACUGACGCUAAGACUCGAAAGCGUGGGGAGCAAACAGG
rnacentral:rRNA from 1 species